AUUCAAGGCCAAAAAAAAUUAAUAAAUUGUUUCUCAGGCACCGCCGCAUCGGUAAAAUCAGAGCCGCAUCAACUUUUUUUACCAUUAUAUUUUUUCCGGAAUUUUCGUAUCUUAUCGUUAUAGGUUUUUUCUUUUAUCCAAACAAUAACAAACGCUUAAGUGACUCGGAAUAAAAUGAAAGUCUAUGUCAAUAAAAACGUGAUUUUUCGCGGGAUAUAUCGAUCAUGUCGCUGUUAUCAGCUCAGAUUGUGAGUGGAACGUCCAUAAUAUUACCAUGGAGUAUAAUUGGGGGGUAUAGCGACAGUUGUUCAGUGGGGGAAUUUUACGAAGACCUGAAACGUGGCAAGUUGGACUUGGAAUUUUUCACUUUCCCAGAAAAGUUGUUAAUCCCCUUGUACUGUAGAAGUCGGUCGCUCUAAAACAGAUUCAUUUGAUCGUGUUAUGCCUUCAGUGCGCUUAUCAGAAGUAGUGUCUCUAUUCGGACGUUACAUAAGAUUUACAGCCAGAGUUAAAAGCCUUUUUAGAACAUUGUACUACAUCCAGGUCUUACUCCUUUUGCAUUAAAAAAUGUGCUGAUCCAAGUUGUUCCAUCUGUACUAGGCCACGCUUGCCUCCUGAGGUUUUUGAGCAGUUACAUCGAUUUCCAGACCCAAUACUGAGUACCUGGUGAAGAUGGGCACUACAAGUCAUUUGAUGAAGUUUAUGGUAGUGAAACUACGGAGGAGCACAGGCCAUCUCUUCAGCGAAGGGCUACAGCGAAUCCAGGUCAUGGGAUACCAUUUUCCCCAAGUGUGCAAGCAGCAAAAACAGUAAAGUGUGUGUUUAUUUGUACAGAAUGUGAAAAACCUUGUGUAGUAUAUGCUGCUAACAAAUUGUCAGAGCAGGAAAUGGCCACUAUAGAGCGCAUUCAGCAGUUAAUUCAAUAUACGUGUGGGUCAUCCCUGCAAGAACUUAAGACUGCCGAUAACAGAACACCACAAGUGAAUGCUUUAUUAGACAAAUGUUUCACCAGGGCCAACUCAACAUGUGAAAUGUCAUUAGAAGUUCCAUAUUUCAGUUCAGGAUGUUUCAAGGACUUGUGUUUUCACUGUGGUGAGGAAGAUGAGCUGCAAAUGAAGCAGGGGCAUAUCCCAUGUGUCUUAAUUGUUCCUCUACAAAAACUCUUCCUUUGAAAAGGAAACAUGUUAAUCUUAAAGAAACUGUUAAAACAAAGACAAGAAGGAAAUAAACUGUGCUUUUGUAUUUGAUUAAUGAAUAUGCUAUUAAAUACACAAUAAAAAAGUAACACAACAAGCUAUUUCUAAAUUUGAUGCCUUUAUUUGAAAUUUAUUAAAAAAAAAAAAAAAAAAAAAAAAAAAACCUGCCUGCCUCAUCAAAAUUUUAAAAAUUUGGCCCGAGAAACAAUUAAUUAAUUUUUUUUGGCCUA